GGGAACUUCCUGCCAAGCGUGAGAACGCUGCGAACUUCCCGGAGGCCAAAAGUUGAGGGGGCUGAGCGGAGCGUGAUUGGGGAGGGGCGGGCCUGGGAGACCUUGGGCGCCUCCUCUGAAAGCCUCUUGGUAGGUAUCCGGUUGAUGGGUGACGUGUUUGGCCGGAAAGGGAGAGCAGCAGAUUGCCCCUCUGUUUUCUGAUAGUGAGGAUUUCUUUCCCAUGCACUGAGUCGGGGCCUCCAGAGCCGCAGUGCAGGGCAGUCGAGGGUCCGCUGCAGGGCGGAGGUCACAGCCGCGCAAGUCGUCAGUCUCCGGUGCAGGGCUGCCGCUGAGUCUUCAAGAGCGAGUUUUAUUAUGGACAGGCGUGUGUUUAUUCCUCCUCCUUUUUUCCUGCUUAUGUUUCUCUUGUCCACGGUGGGUGAGGUUCGUGGUAAUAAGGACUUGAUAAGUGUAUUAUGAGAUAACCACUGAAUGAAUUUGCACAAUAGACGUGCGUGCCCUUCAUCUGCCGCGUCAUUUACUUGCUUUCAAAGGACUUUAUUAUUCACCUGCCCAUUCAUUUUCACUUAGUCCCACUUAUCGUCAGCUUUUUAAAGAGGUGGAGUGAUUCCGUGUUACAGCAACCUACAGCCCAACAAAGCCUUCAGAUAUCUGCCUCCAGGAGUCCAACCCUCAUCCCUUUCCAAAGAACUGGUAGCGGAUAGGUGCCAGCAAUACCGACAUUUAUUGGCACAAUGCUUUGCACUUUUCAAAAGACCUGUUCACAGCUCAACGGAGAAAUAAAUAUGAGGGAAUAAACACAACCAAGACAGUCCUGGGAAUGCAAGGGCUAAACGCUCAAUCUGAGAACUGCCACUACCUAACUGGUUUGGGCAGCGUCUACUAAGUGGUAUUUCACUGUUGAGAGAGGUGAUAUAUUAGAAGUACGAAACUUCUAAUUUAUUCAUAAAAAAUAAAAUGGUAAAAAAUGGGAACCCUUAUCAAGGUUAAAAUAUCCUUAGGUCAUCUAAUCGAAACUGUUAAGUAUAAACAUUCUUAGAAAAUAACGUUUGCAUUGCCUCUCUCUUUUCAUCUCUUAGCACGAUAACAAAUGCAGAGUGAGUGGAAGAAUGAAAUGACUCUUCAAACAUCAGGAAGCAAAAAUAGUUUUUUGCUACUUAAAGGCUCCACCUAAUUAUCUCAGUUCUUUUCACUUUGUGUAUUCAAGCUACACAACUUUAUACAAUCGUUCUGCUGUUGAAACCCAUUUUAUUUUAAUCCUGAUCUGAGGAUAGAACAGGACUGAUCAGGAUGUUUUUAUCUCUAUUAGAACAAUUGUUUCCCAAGUCUGAACUUAACUUUGAAUUUAUCUUAACCAUGGAAAUGGUGAGAAUCACUUGAACUCAACAUGGUAUAUCUCUCAGUUGAGUUCUCAGAACAUAAGUCAUUUCAACAAUAUAUUUUAUUAUUUAUAAAAGGUGAAACAUUUUAAUAAUUAAAACCUUAUAGAACAAUGUAAAGAAUCUAGCCAGAAUUUUAUUUUCCCCCAAGUGCAUAAGCAAUUUAAGUAACACAUAGAAGUGUACCUUUUAUUCCUAUAGUGUUAUAUACCAAUGAGGAAACAGUAACUUUCUAAGGAUACAUUGUUGAAUUCUUUAUUAAUUCAAAACAUUUUAAGAAAGUCAGUGUAAUGCAUAUGCAUUUUACAAUAACAUCCAUAGGUUUCCACAAUCUAGUAAAAUGAAAACAGCUGUAUUUUGAUUUACUUUGAAAACUCAAACCUAUAGUUCGAGACUUCUGAAUAUUUUUACAUUACUGUCAUGCUCAAAUUCUGUUACAUGGUGAAAAUUCUAGCAUUUUCCAGAAGUAUAUUAUUGUACAUAGGUAAAAUGAUAAAAUUGAUUCUAGGAAGGGGGAAAAAAAAACCCAGAAAAACUUAAAUUGGAGGAAACAUAAUCUGGAUUAUCUAUUCAAUUUGUGAAUACCCACCGUUAUUCUGGCAUUGCAAAAUAACCAAGUGUGGUGCCUCUUAAGUUGCAUUCAUGCAUUCAAAACUUCUUUAUUGUCCACUGAUAAAUAUUGGUGGAGUACAAUAUAUGGAUAUAGAUUAAGUGUGAUGAACAUGGUAGUAAAAAAUUAUACACAUUCGAUAUGUAAUUUUACAAAACCAAACACAUUGAAUUCUUUUUAAUAUUUAGCAAACAUUUAAAAAUCAUAUACAAGAAAGGUGUUUAUGACAAAUCGGUUAAAGCUAGCGGGAAAUAGGUCUUUUACAUUAUUUCAAUAUUCAGUGUUCAUUGAUUAGUGGAGGGCAAUAUAAAAAUGCAAUAAGCAAAAUGGUUAGUUUAAAUUUAAAUUACCUCUUAUGACAAUUAGUAAGAUAAGAUCUUUAAUAUCCAAAGUAUGUGGAGGAUUAUUGUAAAUUGCGCAGACAGUUCAAGGGAAAAAUUCACUUUCACCUCUAUUAGGUGAAUAUUCAGGCUAAGACUUCUGGAGUUUUAUUUUUCCACUUCACUGUAUUUUCUUUAUAGCAUUUAUUAGUAAUCACUUAGUGGAACCUAAUAUUAGUGUUUAGAAUUUGUUUAGCUCAGUGUAAAUGUCCAGAAAAUUUACCUUCAAUAUAAUCUCUUUAAAAACGCAUUACUUUACAGUGGAGAAAUAUAAUAGAUGCUACCUCAGCUAAGUGAUCAAGGUUAACAUCAACAGCUAAGAGUAGCCUAAAGUUUGAGAAACUGUCACAGCUAAGACGAGUCCCGGUGAUGGCAUAUACCUUUGAUACCAUGUGAUGAGCAUGGCACUUUACCGUUGUGUUCUUUCAAAAACCAAAAACCUGUGUCUAGUCACGAGAAAAACAUCAGACGAAUCCCCAUAGAAGGACAUUCUACAAAAUACCAGUUUAUUUCUCAAAACUGUCAUCAAAAACAAGGAAAGUUGCAGAAACUGUCACAGCCAAGGGAAGCCUAAGGAAACAUGACAACUAAAUGUAAUGUGGUAUCCUGAAUGGGAUCCUGGGACAGAAAAAGGACAUUAGGUUAUAAACUAAGGAAAUCUGAAUGAAGUAUGAAUGUAAUGAUCAAUAUUGGCUCAUUAAUGCCCAUAGAUGUAUAUGGGACCUCUCUAUUUGGAGUUUUUCUGUAAAUCUAAAACUACUCUAAAAUAAAAGGUUUAAUGGACACAUUACUAUUUUAAAUUUUAUACAUUUUAUUUUUUUCUUAGAGUCAGGGUCUCACUUUGUUGCAUAGACAUGUCUGGAACUCCUGGGCUCAAGUGAUCCUCACGCCUUAGUCUCCCAAAGUGCUGGGAUUGUAUGCGUGAGCCACCGUGCCUGGCCCAUUACCACCUUUUAUUAAGUUUUUAUUUUCAUUGUAAAAUUGUUAAAGAAAAUCAUACCACCUUAAUAUUAAAAAGAGUGUUUUCUAAUUGUCAAUCUCUUAUAACUUAGUCUUAGCCCUAUAACUCAUUUAUAUAUUUAGCAAGUAAUUUGAUAUUAUUUCUGUCCUUGGGAAUGUUGUUUUAUUUCCUUUGGAAAUAAAACUUUCAAAUGAUUGAUCUUAUUUAAACUUUAAUUUUAACCUAUAAUUGUAUAUCCAUUUAUCAUCUAUCUAUCAUCUAUCUAUCAAUCAUCUAUCUAUCUAUGUCAUUGAAAGAAACAUUUCUAUAGAUUUGAGGUGAUGGUGAACUGAAAGUACUGAUUUGGGAUCACAUUAUUGAGAAAAGCAGUAACACUGAUAUAGUGUUCCAUCUUAAAACAUGAUUGUAUGUUUUGAUGAGUAGCUAAAUCAGAUGUUUAACGUAUGUUUUGGAAAAAAAUAGGGGAAAGUGCAUUAAAGUGACAUUUAAUACAAGUAUACAAUAACAAUUAUUGACGUGAUGCACUUUGAUAAAAUAAUAAUGUAUGCCACACUUUAUUCUUUCCACGUUUGUUUUAUUUAAUGCUCAUAGUUAUCCUGAUAAUUACGUAUUUUAUUUGUCAUUUGCAGAUGAGGAAAUGAACUCAGAGAAGAUAAAUGAUUUGCCCAAAGUCACAUGAGACAGAAAUAUAACUUGAAAUCAAAUUUGUAAUUUUAAGUUCCUGAUGUUUUUACACUAUGCUCCCUAAGUGAAUCUGUGGACAUACAUUUCCAUUAGUAACCUUACUCAUCUUAUAGCUUUUGUCAUAGGAAGAAAAUCAGUUCCCAAACUGGGACCUUCUAUCACCUAGGGCAACAUUUUGCCUUUUGUAGUGUUUUCAGUAGAGUCAAAGUCUUGAACAGCCUCUUGAAUUCAUCUGAAAAGAUGUUACUUGGGGCUGGAGAGGACUACACCUGUAAGAGUAAUAAUUUCAAAAAUACCUAUAAAUAAAUCAAAUCUGGGUAUUCAGAAAUAAUACUUGUCAUUGUGCACCAUCUUGUGUUGCAAGGAUAUUUUAAGCACUGCAGGGAAAAUCUGAAGCAAGUUUUGGGUUAUCAGUUUUAUUGAUAAAUAUUUGCAGUUGUAGCAAGUGAAGAAUUAAAAAUUUUUGCAGAUUGGAUAUUGUUUUUGCAGGAGAACAAACCCAUUGGUCAGAAAUUUGAAGAUGGAAAACACAAAAAUACAUGUUUGAAAAAUAUACUUAGAAAAUUAUGGUUGUAAACUGUCAAUGUAAACAGAUAGGCGAAAAUAUUUUUUGGAAAUAUCUUUACCAUCUUUCAAAAUAAUUAGGCAAUGUGUCAAGAUCAAAGUAUUCAAAAUACAUGUUUGAUAGGCUUCUAUCUAUAGGCAUUUUCUGUCUAAGACUUAAAAAUAUUAUUAUUAUAAUUAUUAUUAUUAUUUUGAGAUGGAGUCACUCUGUUGCCAAGGCUGGAGUGCAGUGGCAUGAUAUCAGCUCACUGCGACCUCUGCCUCCUGGGUUCAAGCGAUUCUCCUGCCUCAGCCUCUCAAGUAGCCGGGAUUAAAGGCACCCACCACCAUGCCCGGCUAAUUUUGUAUUUUUACUAGAGUCGGGGUUUCACCAUGUUGGCCAGUCUGGUCUCAAACUCCUGAGCUCAAGUGAUCCGCCCUCUUUGGCUUCCCAAAGUGCUGGGAUUACAGGCUUGAGCCACUGUGCCUGGCCAAGAAAUUUUAGGUGGUUUUCAAAUACGUUUUAUUUUUGACUUUUUUGAUUGUAUUUUAAAUUCCUUCUCUUUUACAUUUCAACACCAAAGCAUCUAAUAAUUGGUAUUUUUUGAGAUAUAAUUUGUCACAAUUACAAUAUGAUUUUUUAAAGUAUAAAUAAGUUAAAGGUAUAGAAAAAUGGAUAAACUCAAAAGUAAAAAUCAGGCAUUAUUUUAAAUUAGCUUAAUGGGAUGAAAAUGUAUUUUUGCUCCUAAUAAAUAAAUAUUAUUCACUUAUCCCUAUAGUCCUUUGGCAAAACUGAACUAUCAGGUAGAUAAACAACACGUAUUUCAUUCUGUAAGUCAGAACCUAGGCAGCAUUAAAGGAUACUAAUAAACAUCCAUGCACUAAGACGGCAUAUCAGAACUGGUCAUUCUAUGUACAUAUUUUAAGAUUUCAAAAAAAAAAAACAUCACAUUAUGGUCUUGACUUCUGCAUUUCGUAACUUUAGUAUCAAAGUUGUGUUUUGCUCUUGUUGUUCAUGUGCACACUCCAACACUGUCAGAGCAUCUCUACUACCUUUGGAUAACAUCAUAACAGCCCGAGUAAAGAAGUGCCAUCCAUCCAUUACUGGUGUGAUUAAUGUACAAGAUCAAUCUCUGAAGAAAUCUGGCUCUCCAAUUUAUUUAUAUAUACAUAAUCUGUAUCCUCUACUUUCUUUUAUAGAUACAUCUAAAGUUAGGCACUAUAGAAAGUGCAUUAAUCUCUUUCUGUGUGCAUCAGCAAAUUCUAAUAGUAUACAAAGAUACCUUGGCAAUUGAAAACACAAAGUGUCCAUUUUAAAGUGCUAAUUUUUCCCCAGGGAGGAAUUUACUCACUAGGAAAACUCAAAUUCUAAGAAAACAAAUAUUGUGCUCUUGGAAUGGUAGCAUAGACACCAGUUGAAGGCUCUUUUGUUUAUUUAUAAUAGCUCUGUAACUUAAACAGAAGGAAUUAUAUCAUACUUAGAAAAUUAGUAGAGUUGCAAAUAUACAGACAUACUCUUAAAUGAGAAACCCUCCCCUCACCCAAAAAUACGAGUUUAGCACAGAAAUGCUCACAUAGCAUGGUUAUCAACAUCUGAUGUGUAAAUCUGCUCUCGAAUCUUUUUUAACUCAACUUCCUCAUCAGGUUUCAAAAGGAUAUACCAACUUUAAAAUCUGUGUUCUACAAAUGCCCAGGUUAGAGAUUAGGACUCUUUAUAACGGCCCUUAUCUUUUACAUUUGGUAAAAUAUUAAAGAUAUUGUCAAACAGACAAUUCAUCUAAUAGUCCAAAGUAUCUUAUAAAGAUAACUUAUGACUAGCAGGUCACCAUCAUAUAUAGUAACAACGAGAAUAUAAAGUCUACAUUUAAAAAGAUGGAUGCAUGCAGUGUAUCACAGUAUAUUACAUAUUUUCUAGUCAUGUGCACCAAUUUGUUGAGCCUCACACACAGAAACAAAUAUGAUACUACACCAUACAUGUGUAUAUAUCAUAGUAGCAUAAUAAACUCAAUUCUAAGCAAGAAAAAAAUUAAAUAAUUUAGGAACAAUAGAACUUCACAAUAGAAGUGAUGAUUCUUUUAGGUUUUUCUUUACUCUUUAGGAAAAAAUAUGACUUUUUGUAAACAUCUUCAUAGCUAUCUUUUUUUCAACAUAUUACUGAAAACUUAUUCAAAUAGUAUUUAAAUGACAUGAAUAAAAUAUGUCUUAACACACUAACACUUUCAGAAAACACAGGCAUUUGUUAAAAGAAAUGAUUAUUAUAAAUAUUUUCUAUCUUGCAUUUUAACUGCAUUUUCAUAAAUAACGUAUUUAAAAGUGCUGAAUAUGGUAGGAUAGUCAGCAACGCCAGUGUAAACAGAAUAUUUUGUUUUCUACUCUGCAAUUUUUAAAAAAUCCCAUUUUGUCAAACACUGCAACAGUUAAAAUAUUUGCAUAGGGAAUAGAUAAUAGCCCUUUUAUUCAUGUCUCCUGAAUUCUAUAUAAAUUAGAAAAUCAUACUUGCUUAAAAAAACCAUUUUUGAAAUGUUUUAAGUUUAUGGAAAAAGAAACUUGUGAUGCCAACCUUUCAAGUAAAAUAAAUUUAAAAAGAAACCCCCAAACUUGUUUUUUUAAAAAAUAUGUUUAAUAAAUUAAAAAAUGAGAGGUAGUUAAAAAAAUGACAAAGAAAACCUGUAACUGUAAUAUCAUCCUUAAUAUAAGGCCAGUGUUCUCAGUGGAUAUAAAUCUUUUUAAAACUUUCAUUUUAGGUUACUCAGUAUUAUAUUCAUUCAGUUUAAUAUUAAAAAAAUAGUCUUCAGGGGAUAUUAAUAUUCAAAUGUAACACUUUGAUAUAAAUAUGACACUGAUUAUUUUAAUUAUCACUUUUAUGCAUGACAGAAUAUUGUUUCCUUGAAGGUCAGAAGUACAUGACAAUGUCAGGCAAGUGUUUUGUCGUAAAGAUUUAGUGUACUUAUAAAAAAUAAUAUGGCAGCUGGAAGAUUUGAGCACUGUACUGCCUUUUAAUGAUGGAUGAAAACUAAUAGUUUGGUUUAAACAUCUUUAAAAUGUCAUCCUUAAGAUAUUAUGUGAAAACAGUUAAGGUCUGAAG
rnacentral:lncRNA from 1 species